CCGGGGCGCCUCCCCGACGGCCAGGAACGCCAAGCAGAAAGAUGUGCGAAAGGCACCGCCAAGUCUCUCGUUUUACCUCCCCACCUCUGCCCCGCCGCCCCGCACCUCCCGGGUCCCCGAUACUCACGGCGGGGCCGUCGGCCGUGGUGUAGCGGACGAUGAUCUGGAAGGGCUGGUGCGGCUGGAGGGCGGCGGGCAGGGACACGCUUUCAUCCAGGGAUAACCCACAGACCACAGCCCCAGCCGCUCCAGAUCUGACCCUGGAUGAUCUUCACCACAGCUAACGGCGAAGUCUCCUCAGGUGUCCAAGCUUGCACAGCUUCAGGACCUGGCUUUGGACUUACACCUUUUUAACUGCGAGCAACCCCUUUGGGUCAUUUUAGAAGAAUCCUGUGUUUUGAUUGAAGUCCCAAGCCAGUGCAACAGUUCCACUCAUCAGCUAGAUGAGUGGAGCAGAAACACAUUCUAAGAGUCUCUAAGCUUAUGAUAAUGAAUCGGGAUCGGCCGCACUCACUGCAUUUGGACAGAAUGUGCAAAACUGACGCAUCUGAAAUUCCCAGGGGUAAUACAGCAAACCAGUUACCUCAGGCCAAUCUCUAGUUGCACACCUGUUGGUCUUGGGCCACAGCCUUUGCUAUAUACUAAGAAGAAUGUGUUAUGUCCAUGCUAUUUUGGGUAAGAUCCCUUUAAGGAAAGCCUCUGUCCCAAUCCCAGUCUUAUUCUACUCCUCACAAGAUGAAGUCUUCUCUGGGAUAUCACACACUAAAUUCAAAAGCAGGACCCAAUUCCUGAAAACCUCUUGCAGAAUGCUUCAAAGAUAAAGAUAUUUCAGUCUUAUUUGCAAUUAUUGAUGUUUUUUUUCCUUCCACUUGAGUGACAGGGCCCUGGGCCAGGCUUCAGCUUGCUCCUGUGGUUCAGGACAAAAGCCAAUAAAAAGAAUUACUGUUGCUCAAGUGAGAAGCAACACUUCUGUACUGUCAGUGAGACAAGUGCUAAAUGAAGCAGAUAAGUAACUACAGAAGAAAUAACAUUUCCCUGUAAUAGUCUGUCUCCUUAGUUCCAAAGUAACAAUGCUGGAGCUAAACUUUAACAAAACAGUUGAGCUAAUCCCUGCUGUCCACAGGUGACUGUUCACCUGCUCCACCGCAGACCCUUGUUUGACACCUUGUUGGGCUAUUCCAGCUUGCUGAAGCAGCAGGAAAGUAUUCACCUUUUUAGGGGAGUAACUGGGAAGCAGCAGUUUGGUGCAACGAAUCCUGGGUGCAGUUUCCUCUCAUACCUACGCUAGUGUUACAGUUGGCGCCUACUGAAAAGAGCAGCCUCACUUCACCUCCCUUCCAGCUGUGCCUUCCUGUCUCCUUCUUUGUACAGCAUUCCUGCUUUUGGAGGGUGAACUUUCUGCAAGUUAUCUUUCUGAACAGGGUCACUGCUGGACCAAGCAAGAGCCACUGCUGGCAUCAGGAAAGUGGAAGCAACUCCCAGCCUGGAAGAAGAAGGAGGACAAGGUCAGGACGGCUCCCCUUUUGCCCAGACUGCCAUUACCUUAGCCUUAGCUGCAAAAUGAAGCCAGGCUCUGGCCCCAGUGACAUUUGAGAAAUAGGUACAUUAGUCCUUUUUCUUCAGGGGAAAUACUGAAGUUUGUGGGGUAAACUCAGUUCUGCAGGGCCCAAGACAAUCCCAUCCUCAACAGAGUAGCACAUGAAAACUGAGUGAACUCUUUUAACCACAGCUUUAGGCAGAUGCCUUUCACUUUCUUUCCCUCUCCCCUUAAUAUGUUCAGCCUUCAUCUUCACAUUCUACCCAGCUCUACUUUUAGGAAAGAAGCAGGGCAUUACCCCUUUGGCCUAUCACCCUGCUUCCUCAUGCCUCUCCACAGUUCCUUUUUGUCCUCAAGUUUCUGAUUAUAAAAGAACCCCCCACCUAGCUGGGUGUUUUUUGGAGACAGGCCUAUUACCUCUCCCUUUUGUAACCACAAUGUACAGUCACACUCUGUUCCCUGAACCGAGUAACACUGAGUAAAAUGGUGGCCAGGCCCUGACAGAGAGUAACCUUGGGUCCAGGGCUAUGAGCAGGGUAAGAUAUGUUAGUUAAUUCUUGCUUGGGAUAAGCCUCACUAAAGAACAACUAUAAUAAAUGAUGCUUUUUGUGCUAAA